rnacentral:tRNA from 1 species
GUCCUCGCAGAGCAGCCUGGAGUGCUCGCCACCCUGUCACGGUGGAGAUCAGGGGUUCAAAUCCCCUCGGGGACG